rnacentral:rRNA from 1 species
UACGUAGGAGGCUAGCGUUAUCCGGAUUCACUGGGCGUAAAGUGAGCGUAGGUGGUGCACUAAGUCAGAUGUAAAAUAUCUCGGCUUAACUGAGAGGGACCAUCUGAUACUAGCGUACUUGAGGACAGCAGAGGGAGGUGGAAUUCCCGGUGUAGUGGUGAAAUGCGUAGAUAUCGGGAGGAACACCAGUGGCGAAAGCGGCCUCCUGGGCUGCACCUGACACUGAGGCUCGAAAGCGUGGGGAG